GCACCCGUAGCUCAAUUGGAUAGAGCAUCUGACUACGGAUCAGAAGGUUGUGAGUUCGAACCCCGCCGGGUGCGCCA
rnacentral:tRNA from 3 species